UACGAAGGGGGGCGAGCGUUGUUCGGAAUUACUGGGCGUAAAGGGCGCGCAGGCGGCUCUGAAAGUCAGAUGUGAAAGCCCCCGGGCUUAACCUGGGAAUUGCAUUUGAUACUCUGGAGCUUGAGUACGGGAGAGGAUAGUGGAAUUCCCAGUGUAGAGGUGAAAUUCGUAGAUAUUGGGAAGAACACCGGUGGCGAAGGCGGCUAUCUGGACCGUAACUGACGCUGAGGCGCGAAAGCGUGGGGAGCAAACAGG
rnacentral:rRNA from 1 species